UUAAGUUUCUUAGAGAAAAACAUAUCCAAUACUCACAGAUUUUACGAAGAACAUUUUACGAUAUUCUGAUAAGCUUAUGCCUGUGUGAAACAUUAAACUGCUUUUGGCCAUUAAUUUCUUUGGCAAAUUUAUGAGAACUUGUAAUCAAUUUGAUGGGAGACGAAAGCCUGGCAACAUCACCAGAGAAACCUGUCAGCUGCAGACAAAACCCAAUCGAAAUGAAUUUGCCUUCCACAAGGCAAAUUCCCCAACGAGAGCUUGGCGUCCCUCGUCCAGGGUAAGAAAAGCGCAGCACCACCUGGCCAACCAAUCGACCAGGACACAUGGCCAUCAUCCAGGUCUGGGAGAAGGACUUUCGUCCGGGCAGUCAACCAGUCAGGCGGCCAAAGCUGAAACGCUGCUAUCUAAAGCUGUUAAUAAAGCGCACAUUAAAAUAUAUACGUAUCUAAGUAUCUCAAAGAUACAGCUCGUCGCUCCUGGGCUGAGUUGUCUUGGGUUGGGGCAUUCAAAUCAAAAACCGUGAGAAUCAAAGGAACGGACAAGUGGAGCGGAAAGCUUUCAGUGCGUGAAGAACGCAGGGAAGGGGCGGUUGUGUCCAAAGCAAAGACUGUUUGGGGGCACUGAAGUCCUGCCGCGAUUGUCCUGCAAGGAAGCCCCGCCUCCCGCUUUUUACAGCUUCUCAAUGACUGACUACGCUCAUCCUCCGUCAGUCCCUCAGCUGGCUGUUGGCGUUAUAAAAGCCCAACGCUUCAUUGCACAAACAUAGUGGAGGACCGGAAGGCAGUCAGGCAGGCAUCGUCUAUUCUAAAGGCCUAAAGGCACGGCGGACUGGGUGGGGGACCAGGACCCGGCCAGGAUCGACCAAGAGGAGCGGCAACUGGAGCCGGUGUGGCUUUGGGAUGGAUGCGUUCACCACUUAACGGAGCACACAACUUGGCUUGGCUUGCGGUGAAUACUCGGCUCAAGAGUUGUGGCUCUCGAGGACGAGGGGCGUUAUCAUUUAUGCAUACGUGAGCAUAAAAUACUUACAGCAGUCUUUAUACGCUGUCUGCGGUAAAGACAAAAAUUCGAAUUAAAAUUAAUUAAUACAAGACAAACAAUAAACACGGAGCCCGAGAGCCCAGGAGCAAAGAAUAUCUGGGCCAACGCCUCAAGGGAAAAGCAGCAAAUAAGCUACUCAGCAACUGAAGCCUUUAAAUCAAAUGAAACAUGAUAGUCGCGGCAUUUGCCUUUUGGUUUUAAUGAUUGAUUUAUUUUUUUAGUUUUUUAAUUAAAUAACCACAUAUUUACUUACUCUA